rnacentral:rRNA from 1 species
GAUGAACGCUAGCGGGAGGCUUAACACAUGCAAGUCGAGCGGUAGGGCAGCAAUGCCUGAGAGCGGCGCACGGGUGCGUAACGCGUAUGCAACCUGCCUUAUACAGGGGAAUAGCCCAUGGAAACGUGGAUUAAUGUCCCAUAGGAUUACGGAUUCGCAUGGAUUUGUGAUUAAAACUGAGGUGGUAUAAGAUGGGCAUGCGUCUGAUUAGGUAGUUGGUAGGGUAAUGGCCUACCAAGCCGACGAUCAGUAGGGGUUCUGAGAGGAUUACCCCCCGCACGGGUACGGAGACACGGACCAGACUCCAACGGGGAGCAGCAGUGAGGAAUAUUGCUCAAUGGCCGGAAGGCUGAACCAGCCAUCCCGCGUGCAGGAUACCGGCCCUAUGGGUUGUAAACUGCUUUUGUACCUGAAGAAACCUGUUUACGAGUAGACAGUUGCCGGUAAGGUAUGAAUAAGCAUCGGCUAAUUCCGUGCCAGCCGCGGCCGUAACAC